AUGAAGUUCAUCUGGUUUGGAAAGGCACGUAGCCCACCUCAUGGGUUUUUUAGAAAAAAAAAAGUUAUAAACAAAUACCCUAAUUGGUUAAAGAAAACAAUUAACCCCACUCUUGUUACUUUUCUCUUCCAGCCGUAACUCCAUUCUCUUCCUCGACAAUUUCCACCCAUGCCUUUGAGACAACUCGUCCUUCUCCUUUCUCUUAUUCCAAUCAUCCCUCCUUCCCAAAAAUCACUACAAAUCCCUCUGUAGCAUACACACUCAGGAACGAAUUGUGGCACUCAAUUGCAAAGGCACUUGGUUAAUUUCUGGGGUUUAAGAUUGGUGCUUUAAGGAAGGAAGGGAGUGCCCACCUGUCAAGGUUUCUCUGUUAAUUGCAUUGAGAUUUGCCGGGCGUAGGUUCGUUUGCGCGUCACGGAACUGUUGAGGACGGUCCAAUUAUUUCGUCAUAGCUAUUCACAGGCAACUAAGUAGUAAGCUGGUAUCAGAUUCAGAUCGUUCAAUUUAUCUUAUUGGCUUGCCAGACUAGAGUGUCAGUCUGUGCGCCGGUCACGGCUUAGGAUUUUGGGUCGUGACAAAGUUGGUAUCAGAGCCGACCUCUCCCAGUACGGUGUGGUUCGGGGACGAACCAAGCGGAAGCUGGUGGGCCUGUGAUACCCGGGGCUGACGAGGGCGGGGAGUGAUCGCCGGUGCAGUGAGGCAUGGACAAGGAGCGGCUCCUGGCAGGCUUCUAGGCGGAGGGUCACAAGAAUGAGCCGAUCUCACACCCGAACAAGAGGUAUUCCGAGACUGUGUAGGGAUGGACUAUACAGUUGAGGAGGGCAUAUAUGAUUUGAUUGUACUACCCAUAACAACAAGUUGCAACUUCUUUUCGGGAGCCAAACUCAUAAGAACUCCAUGGUUAAGUGUGCUAGCCUUGGAGCAAUAUUAUGAUGGGUGACCUCCUGGGAAGUUUUCCCGGGAAGCGCGCGAGUGAGGACAAAGCGCGCUGAAAAGACUCGUGUUGUUACCGUGAGGCCAGUAGUCAAGUCAGGAUGUUACAAUUGGUAUCAGAGCCUGGUUGUAGGUCCUAUUAGCUGCAGACAUGAUGUAGUGAUAGAAUCUUUCUAGUAAAUUGUGAACCGCGGCACAAUUUACUUCAAAGAUGCUAUUAACACCUCAUGAGAGUCUUAAUGUUGUUUCCAUGUGUGAUUUGAGUUCGUUCCUCAAUUCACAAAAAAAUCUGAGUCAUGUCUUAUAAUCGAUGAAUAUUCUUUGUUCAGUGAGGAUACCACCUAAAUUCUAUUUCUAUUAGAGGAUGUGUCAGCUUAUGAAGAUCCUCUUUGGUUGUGGUCGGUGUUGUAGUUUACGCCAAGGACCAUCGCCGAUACGAGCUUGUUGCUCCCUGUUGUAGCUAAUGUUAACGUGCUUAUAUUGCGGUAAUGACAUUCAAGGAUGGUAGAGCUUACAGUUGGUAUGAAAUGAAAGAAUCAUAACAUGACUUGCAAUAACACGUUGGACUGGUUGUUGGGCAGCAACAACAUAACCCACGUAUGACAAUUUAUGAGUUUCAGCAAGAUGCUAGGCAUAAGAGAGCAACAAAAUGUAGGUGUCACUAGAAAGAUUCAGGUCACACUAAGUUGGUUGCAUGAGGCUUAAAUUCUCCUAAUUUUCUAGUACGCAUGCACAUGGGGAGCAAGUGAGGAUUAAUGGUGCUUUAUGGAAACUAUGGAGAGCAAUUUGGAUGCACCCACGUUAGAGAGGUGGAGUUAACAUCAUUCUAGUUAGAUGGUGUAGUAUAUGAUUGGUUUUGUGACUUUGUGCACACAAUAACGACGAGAUCACCUCCAAUAUCAUAGGACAAAUUUUGACAUUUAUAAAUCGUUUGAUACGAGAGUUAGAAAUGGUUUGACUCAUGUGUUUGAGUUGCUGGAACAGGAUAAAGUCAAUGACACUAGGGAGUGGUUCUAGUGUCCAGGCUUCAAACUUUGUGCAAAGUCAUAUAUUAAGUUCUGAAGGGAAUUCACGCACCAUUACUUCCUCAAAUGCAUUUAUGUGCGAUAUUUAUAUCAGAUUCUAUUUCUCAAAAGUUUCAUCUUGUAGCUUGCUUGUGAUUUAGUAGGGUGUGAUGUUAGUGACAAGUUACAUACUAGGAGGAAUUGACAUAUAGCUGUGGUGCAAGCUAUGAGUUAUUUUGGCCAAGGUUAGUGAGUACCAGGAUUUGGUGGUUGAGGUUAAUGACUGGCAAGGGAGUCAAGCUUGAGUCUUUGCUUUGAAUCGUCAUGAUUCUCAAGAAUCCAUUGUAGUGGUUACAAGUCCGCUUUCUAUAUGUUAUUGAGAUGUUCAUGUUUUGUUUGAUCCUAAAGCUAUAUACUCACUCCAUUUUACCAUUUUUAGUACGCUUCUGAAGUUGGAAAAUUUUCUCUUUCCUUAAAUAAUAUGUUGGUUAUGGGCUCGUGGCUACACCUCUUAGAGAGUUUUCUAUAGUAAAGUUGUGCACCAUUAUUUUUAAGAUAUCCAUUGGAAAUCAAUUGAGAGUUGUUGUUAGUCGUUAUAGCUUAAGACAUAAUUGAUUUUAGUGUGAUCUUUGGAUAUAGAUUGGAUAAUCUUUUGUCAACGAUACUUUGGAUUGUCAUAAAUAAGGUAGUGAGAUUUCAGGCACAAGGAGAGUCAUUUUUCUCAUUUUCGGGAGUGAAGUUGGACACCUCAUAAUCCAGUUUCAGUAUUGAAAGUUAACAAGUUACUACGGAAGAGUUGUAGGUGAUAAUUGCUCUUGGUAAAGAUACUCAAUUAGCAAAAUUGAAACUAGAGGAGAUUUUUGUAAUGUGUGUUUUGCAUAAUGUAUCUCCUAAGGGGAUAGAGUUUUCCAUAUAGUUAGUUUCUGAACCAGACUUAUUGUGAAGAAGAGAGUCAAGACUAUGUAGUUAUGUGUUGACUACAGGCAAUUGGAGAAUAUGAUGGUAUAAAAAAAAGGACUUAGUAAUCUAGGUACCAUAAAUGGAAUUUUUAAGAAAGAAAGAAUUUUGAAGACCACUUACAGAACAUGUUAUGACUGUAAUGGGUAGUUAGUCAUGCCUUUGGACUUAGUGACACCACUGUUGAUUUAAGAAUUCAAUGAACCAUAUCUUUAAAUCCUUCUUGAGCAUUUUAUGAUUGUAUUUAUUAAUGAUAUUCUUAUUCAUAUUGAGGAUAAAGAAGAGCUCUAGAAGCUUGAUGAUAGAAGAGUUUCAUUGGGGCUUGCCCAUUUCAACUUAAUGUUGAGUGUUGACUUACAUGCAAAUUAGUUCUACUUUGGUUGAUGAUGUUAAAUAUGAUAAGGGUCAAGAUUUGUAGGUGAUGAAGAUGGUGGAUGAUGUUAAAGUGAAAAGAUUUCAUAGUUUUCAUUAGACUCUGAUGAUAUUUUAUGACUUGAAUAAUAGUGUGUGUGUCUAAUGUAGAUAGUUUGAGGGAAAAUAUUAGAGGAUGCUCAUAAUUAUUCUCACACCAUUCACAUAGGAUACUUGAGGAAUUUCUAUUAGUGGGAAGAGAUGAAGAAGAAUGUUGUAGAAUUUGUUUCUAACUGUUUAGUAUGUUAGCAUGUGAAGGUCGAACAUAAAAGCGAGUAAUGUUGCUUCAGUCUAUUAAGAUACCAUAGGGGAAAUGAGAAGGUGUUGUUAUGAACUUGGUGAGAGGUUUGCUUAGAAAUUUAAUGUGUUAUGAUUUUGUAACGGUGAUUAUGGAUCAAUUGGCAGAGUAUGAACACUUUUGUCUAUAGAAGUACUUACACUACAAUAUUGUAUGGUUUACCUUGAUUGAGAUUGUUUGUUUGCAUGGUGUAAGCUUGUUUAUAAUUUCAGAUCAAGGAGCUUAAUUGAAUGCAUUGUUUUAGAAAACUUUCAAAGUUGUUGUGGGGUCACAUUUGAUUUGGGUACAACUUUCUAUCCUUAAAUUGAUGGCUGAUUUAAGAGGAUUAUUCAGAUCUCGGAAGAUAUGUUUUGUGCUUGUGUUUUUAGACUUUAGAAGGAGAUGAGAGCAGAAUUUGUCUUUAAUGAAGUUCUCUUAUAAUAGCCGCUACCAGUCUAGCAUUAAGAUUAUACAAUUUGAGGCCAGGUAUGGUAGGAGAUGCAGAUCACCAAUAGCUUGGUUGAUGUUAGAGGAGCAAUGCUUGUAGGCUCAUAACUUAUCCAAGAUACAAUGUAGAAAAAGGUUAAGGUGGUCUGAAACUAAUUGGUUACAAAUAAGAGUAUGAAAACGUGUUAUGCUGAUAGGAGGAGAUGCCCUUUAGAGUUCGUAGUUGCAGACCAUAUGUUCUUACGCGUUUCCCCAAUGAAAUGAGUGUUAUGAUUGGAUAAGAAAGGGAAGUUAAGUUCAAGAUUCAUUAGAUUGUUGGAGAUCUUGAAGAGAGAUGACUUUGUAGCUUAUCAAUUGAUGUUUUUCCCAUACAAAUUUGGAGUUCACCUAGUUUCAUAUUUCUAUGCUUUGAAGAUACCUAUAUGUUCAUUCUCAUCUUAUCCCCUCAUGAGGAUGCACAACUAGAUGGACAUUUAUAUCAUAUGGAGGAUUCAGUAGUCAUAGUUGAUAGAAGAACGCUAACAUUCUAAGAAUAUUGGUCCAGUGAAAAUCUUUGACAAGGACAAUAUGCAGAAAAGAUGAUUCGGAAGUCUAAGACCAUAAAGCACGAGAAGUAUCCCCACUUGUGUGAAGCUCAAGGUUAGUUUAAGCUUUAAAAUUCGAGGACGAAUUUUCUAUAAGGAGGGAAGAUUGAAAAGACCCGUUUAAUAUUAGUAUGGUUUUAAUUAUUAAAGUUGUCACCAUUAUUAUAUAUAAAAGAGAUAAGGCAAAAAAAAACGGGGGGAAUAUGAAGUUAAUCUGGUUUGGAAAGGCACGUAGCCCACCUCAUGGGUUUUUUAGAAAAAAAAAAGUUAUAAACAAAUACCCUAAUUGGUUAAAGAAAACAAUUAACCCCACUCUUGUUACUUUUCUCUUCCAACCGUAACUCCAUUCUCUUCCUCGACAAUUUCCACCCAUGCCUUUGAGACAACUCGUCCUUCUCCUUUCUCUUAUUCCAAUCAUCCCUCCUUCCCAAAAAUCACUACAAAUCCCUCUGUAGCAUACACACUCAGGAACGAAUUGUGGCACUCAAUUGCAAAGGCACUUGGUUAAUUUCUGGGGUUUAAGAUUGGUGCUUUAAGGAAGGAAGGGAGUGCCCACCUGUCAAGGUUUCUCUGUUAAUUGCAUUGAGAUUUGCCGGGCGUAGGUUCGUUUGCGCGUCACGGAACUGUUGAGGACGGUCCAAUUAUUUCGUCAUAGCUAUUCACAGGCAACUAAGUAGUAAGCUGGUAUCAGAUUCAGAUCGUUCAAUUUAUCUUAUUGUCUUCAAUGUUCAACCCUUUGUUUCUCUGGCUCUCUCUCAACUCAUGGGUUGUCUCUUCAUCACACCGCCUCAGCCAGACGAAACAAUGGAGAGGAACAUUCUGAUUCAUUCUUAGCGCUUCAGCCACACCAUCUAGCUUGCUGCAAGUGUAGGAAAGAACUGCAUGAAGAAUAUUAUGAGUCUGAAGAAGAUGAUUCUAAAUAAGCCAACAUUUGCUUGAUGACAGAUACAAAAUCUGCUGAGAAGUCAGAACAUGAAGAUUGUGAAGAGUUUGGAUGGGAGUAAGUUCAGCUGACCUAGCAGGAAGAUCAAGACGAAUUAAUAUCAUCUGUCAGUUUGAACUUAUUGUUGUGACUCACAACUUGUUAUCAUUUUAAUGCAAUAUUUGAGCUCUUCACUGUGCUUCCCUUUUCUAGUUGGUCAUAUUUUUAAGACUCACAACUUGACACUGCGUUGGUAGACGAUUUUAGACUCGGUCUGUAAACAGAAUUGAAGUUAUUUACUUAUCAUCUGUCAGUUUGAAUUUUCUGCGUUGAAAGAAAAGUUCAGAGAAGAGUAGAAGACUUUAAUUUA